CCUACGGGGGGCAGCAGUGGGGAAUCUUGCGCAAUGGGGGGAACCCUGACGCAGCGACGCCGCGUGCGGGACGAAGGCCCUCGGGUCGUAAACCGCUUUCAGCAGGGAUGAGACAAGACGGUACCUGCAGAAGAAGCCCCGGCUAACUACGUGCCAGCAGCCGCGGUAAUACGUAGGGGGCGAGCGUUAUCCGGAUUCAUUGGGCGUAAAGCGCGCGUAGGCGGCCCGGCAGGCAGGGGGUCAAAUGGCGGGGCUCAACCCCGUCCCGCCCCCUGAACCGCCGGGCUCGGGUCCGGUAGGGGAGGGUGGAACACCCGGUGUAGCGGUGGAAUGCGCAGAUAUCGGGUGGAACACCGGUGGCGAAGGCGGCCCUCUGGGCCGAGACCGACGCUGAGGCGCGAAAGCUGGGGGAGCGAACAGGAUUAGAUACCCCGGUAGUC
rnacentral:rRNA from 1 species